UUCUCGGCGUACCGCUCAGUAACACGUGCGUAACCUGCCCUAUGCUGGAUAAUAACCUCGGGAAACUGAGAAUAAUGAUCCAUAGUUCACUACGCCUGGAACGGUGAGUGGAUGAAAGCUCCGGCGGCAUAGGAUGGGCCUGCGGCGUAUCAGGUUGUAGGGGGUGUAACGUACCCUCUAGCCCUCUACGCGUACGGGUGUUGGGAGACAUAGCCCGGAGAUGGAUUCUGAGACACGAAUCCAGACCCUACGGGGUGCAGCAGGCGCGAAAACUUGGCAAUGCGAGAAAUCGUGACCAGGGAACUCCAAGUGCAUCGGGUAAGACCGGUGCUUUUCUUGACUCUAAAUAGGUCUUGGAAUAAGGGGUGGGUAAGGACGGUGCCAGCCGCCGCGGUAAUACCGGCGCCUCAAGUGGUAGUCGCUUUUAUUGGGCCUAAAACGUCCGUAGCCGGUCUGAUACAUUCGUGGGUAAAUCAACCAGCUCAACUGGUUGAAUUCUGCGAGGACGGUCAGACUUGGGACCGGGAGAGGUGUGGGGUACGCUCAGGGUAGGGGUAAAAUCCUGUCAUCCUGAGCGGACCACCUGUUGCGAAGGCGCCACACUAAAACGGAA
rnacentral:rRNA from 1 species